rnacentral:rRNA from 1 species
GGAGGGGGCAAGCGUUGUUCGGAUUUACUGGGCGUAAAGCGCACGUAGGCGGCAAGGUAAGUCAAAGGUGAAAGCCCUCGGCUCAACCGAGGAAUUGCCUUUGAAACUGCUUUGCUUGAGUCCGGGAGGGGGGAGCGGAAUACCCAAUGGAGCGGUGAAAUGCGUAGAUAUUGGGUAGAACACCGGUGGCGAAGGCGGCUCCCUGGACCGGUACUGACGCUGAGGUGCGAAAGCGUGGGUAGCAAACAGGAUUAGAUACCCUGGGUAGUCCACGCCGUAAACGAUGGGCACUAGUUGCAGCGGGUGUCGACCCCCCUGCUGUGACGAAGUUAACGCAUUAAGUGCCCCGCCUGGGGAGUACGGUCGCAAGGCUG